GCUCUCGUGGCGCAGUGGCUAGCGCGCUCGUUAUAAAAAUUUUCAACGCGGGUUCAAUUCCAUCUGGUGGCA